GAUAGCCCUUUCUGUAUGUAAUACAAAAAGUGACAAACUAUUCAUCUAUUGCCAGUUAGCCCACUAUGAGCAUUUUAUCCGCAGGACUUAUGCUUUGUCAUCAAAGAUCCCUGUUGUAAAUAUCAAAUUGAAACUGAGCAUGCAGAAUAUAGAAAACUUCCAUUACAUAACUUGUCAAGGCCAGUAACCCAGUAAUACUAAUAAGACGUGAUGAACACCCGAAGAAAAUGGCUGUAAAAAAAAAAAAAAGAACAAAAUAUCGGUAAGCUGUGACUGCUGGAAGGAGCUUUCUUUUGGAGACUAUAUCACUGGUUUUAUAACCAUUGACAGAGUGUUUUAAAAUGCUUAUUUUAAUUAAAUUUUUA
rnacentral:lncRNA from 1 species